rnacentral:rRNA from 1 species
AUUGAACGCUGGCGGCAUGCCUUACACAUGCAAGUCGAACGGUAACAGGUCUUCGGAUGCUGACGAGUGGCGAACGGGUGAGUAAUACAUCGGAACGUGCCCGAGAGUGGGGGAUAACGAGGCGAAAGCUUUGCUAAUACCGCAUACGAUCUCAGGAUGAAAGCAGGGGACCGCAAGGCCUUGCGCUCACGGAGCGGCCGAUGGCAGAUUAGGGGGUUGGUGGGAUAAAAGCUUACCAAUCCGACGAUCUGUAGCUGGUCUGAGAGGACGACCAGCAAAGAUGGGACUGGGACACGGCCCAGACUCCUACGGGAGGCAGCAGUGGGGAAUUUUGGACAAUGGGCGCAAGCCUGAUCCAGCCAUGCCGGGUGCAGGAUGAAGGCCUUCGGGUUGUAAACUGCUUUUGUACGGAACGAAAAGACUCUGGUUAAUACCUGGGGUCCAUGACGGUACCGUAAGAAUAAGCACCGGCUAACUACGUGCCAGCCGCCGCAGUAACAC